GUGAAUCUCUGUGUGUAAAAGACAUUCCUGUUAGCAGGAGCAAAGAACAGGACCUCGCACUUCUCUGCUUCAGACUGCCUGACAUGCUUACUCUGAAGUUGAUGGAUAUGCUGCAAAUCUUUGCUCCCAAAACUGCUGCUUCCUCAGACAGCUUUGAAAAAAAAAAUCAAAAAAACCACCACAAAUAUCAAGGCAGCAUGCAGGGAGGAAGGACACUGGCAAAGAAGAGAGAAGUAAAAGAGAUGUCAGUGCCAGGAUGGAGCUCCUCUUCCAAGGCAUAAGAUUGAAUACAUUUGCUGCGUUGCAGAACGAGGAGGGAAAUGUCACCUUCAGAGGUGAUCUGACAAUCACAAAAAUAAAUUACAUAGAGGAGAGGAAAAAAAAUUCACAACAAGACGAGCAUUUGUGAAUAUUCAUGAGCAAGUCAAAACCCCCAAAUUAACAAGGAAAUUAAUUUCCAAACUGAUU